rnacentral:rRNA from 1 species
UGGUGGANCAUGUGGUUUAAUUCGAUGCAACGCGAAGAACCUUACCUACUCUUGACAUCCACAGAAUUCGGCAGAGAUGCCUUAGUGCCUUCGGGAACUGUGAGACAGGUGCUGCAUGGCUGUCGUCAGCUCGUGUUGUGAAAUGUUGGGUUAAGUCCCGCAACGAGCGCAACCCUUAUCCUUUGUUGCCAGCACGUAAUGGUGGGAACUCAAAGGAGACUGCCGGUGAUAAACCGGAGGAAGGUGGGGAUGACGUCAAGUCAUCAUGGCCCUUACGAGUAGGGCUACACACGUGCUACAAUGGCGUAUACAAAGAGAAGCGAACUCGCGAGAGCCAGCGGACCUCAUAAAGUACGUCGUAGUCCGGAUCGGAGUCUGCAACUCGACUCCGNGAAGUCGGAAUCGC